UGGUGGGUAGUUUGACUGGGGCGGUCUCCUCCUAAAGAGUAACGGAGGAGCACGAAGGUUGGCUAAUCCUGGUCGGACAUCAGGAGGUUAGUGCAAUGGCAUAAGCCAGCUUGACUGCGAGCGUGACGGCGCGAGCAGGUGCGAAAGCAGGUCAUAGUGAUCCGGUGGUUCUGAAUGGAAGGGCCAUCGCUCAACGGAUAAAAGGUACUCCGGGGAUAACAGGCUGAUACCGCCCAAGAGUUCAUAUCGACGGCGGUGUUUGGCACCUCGAUGUCGGCUCAUCACAUCCUGGGGCUGAAGUAGGUCCCAAGGGUAUGGCUGUUCGCCAUUUAAAGUGGUACGCGAGCUGGGUUUAGAACGUCGUGAGACAGUUCGGUCCCUAUCUGCCGUGGGCGCUGGAGAAUUGAGGGGGGCUGCUCCUAGUACGAGAGGACCGGAGUGGACGCAUCACUGGUGUUCGGGUUGUCAUGCCAAUGGCACUGCCCGGUAGCUAAAUGCGGAAGAGAUAAGUGCUGAAAGCAUCUAAGCACGAAACUUGCCCCGAGAUGAGUUCUCCCUGACUCCUUGAGAGUCCUGAAGGAACGUUGAAGACGACGACGUUGAUAGGCCGGGUGUGUAAGCG
rnacentral:rRNA from 1 species